rnacentral:rRNA from 1 species
GAUGAACGCUAGCGAUAGGCCUAACACAUGCAAGUCGAGGGGCAUCACAUGAAGUAGCAAUACGGAUGGUGGCGACCGGCGCACGGGUGAGUAACACGUAUGCAACCUGCCUUCAACAAGGGGAUAACCCGUUGAAAGACGGACUAAUACCCUAUAACACAGGGGUCCCGCAUGGGGAUAUUUGUUAAAGGACAACCGGUUGAAGAUGGGCAUGCGUUCCAUUAGCUAGUUGGCGGGGUAACGGCCCACCAAGGCAACGAUGGAUAGGGGAACUGAGAGGUUUAUCCCCCACACUGGUACUGAGACACGGACCAGACUCCUACGGGAGGCAGCAGUGAGGAAUAUUGGUCAAUGGACGCAAGUCUGAACCAGCCACGUCGCGUGAAGGAAGACGGCCCUACGGGUUGUAAACUUCUUUUAUACGGGGAAUAAAGUGCCCCACGCGUGGGGUUUUGCAUGUACCGUAUGAAUAAGGAUCGGCUAACUCCGUGCCAGCAGCCGCGGUAUUCACACUAC